CCCUCUGUAGUUCAGUCGGUAGAACGGCGGGACUGUUAAUCCGUAUGUCACUGGUUCGAGUCCAGUCAGAGGAGCCA
rnacentral:tRNA from 1 species